UCCUGCAUCUUCUAAGCCUUCUGGUAGUAGUGAGCCUAAGCACCAGAGGAAGACCUUGAAUUCAGAAGUAAAACUCCUGGAUAUGCUUCGGGAAGGAAAGCAUGAUGCGGACGUCGCUCGCCAUUAUGGCUUGAAUGAAUCGACGUUACAGUCCGUCCUUCUUGCCCUUCCUGAGCCUCCCGCGACUUCUGCCUGCCCUUUUGCCCUUCCACCCAACCUUCGGCUUCCUCUCCCUCUACAACGACUUUGGAUUGCAUUUUGGCUUCUGGCAUUAUUAUGACUUGGACCCGGCUGUCGACUACCCCUUGUUUGACCACUAAAAAUAAAUGGUUGCCUGGAUCCACUUGUGCUUGUCUUGUUUGGCAGGACAGAAUACCUCGCCUUUAAUAUGGACCCUCAAGACAUUCAGGAUCAACUCCAACAGGUGCAGGCCCAUAUCUCACAUCUAACGGACGUCGUAAGGCAACUCCUUGCUACUUCACCCCCACGGCUUCCGGUACCGGUAGCCCUGCCAAAAUGGUACGAUGGGAACCAUGACCAGUGCAAGGCUUUCUUGAUGCAAUGUGGCUUAUAUAUCGAGCACCAACGGGACCAAUUCUCCUCCGAUCAGGAUCAAGUACAUUUCAUAAUCUCCCUGCUCUUUGGAAAAGCUCUUACCUAGGCCACCUCUCUUUGGGAAGAGAAUAGUACCCUGCUCACAAACCCUCUAUCGCCAUGCUCUUCGCCCGGAAUUACGGGCUGAACUGGCAUAUCAGGGUGCUAUGAGGACCUUCGGAGAAUACGUGAGUCUGUCAAUCACCCUAGACACCAUCCUCCACAAGCACCGCAGAACCGCAGUGCGAAUAGAAGGACUGGCUGCAGCCCCAUCACCAUGUCCAAUGGAGCCGGAGUCAAUGGUGUUAGGACGUACGCCACUCGCCCUGAAAGAACGAGAAAGAUGCGAAGCGGGGCAUUUCAUGUGCUUAUGCCCGAAGCGACCCACAUGGAACCACCCGGAGGAGACUCAGAAGAACAGCACAUUGAGCACGUACGACAGGUACUUCAGCGUCUUAGACAGAAUCGACUCUACAUGAAAGGU